rnacentral:tRNA from 2 species
GCCCGGGUGGCGGAAUUGGUCAGACGCGAUCGGCUUAAACCCGAUUGUUCUUUGGAGCGUGUGGGUUCGAGUCCCACCCCGGGCA